UCGUAACAAGGUUUCCGUAGGUGAACCUGCGGAAGGAUCAUUACAGUGUCUUGGAGGCCGGCCCGCGCCGCUCCCCCUCGGGGGUCGGUGUGGCCUGCGCCCCCUCCACACGUGUCUACCACACUCUGUUGCCUUGGCGGGUCUGCCCUCGUGGCUGCCGGGGACUGCCGCUGGCAUCCCGGGCUCGUACCCGCCGAUGGACACCCUGAACCCUCUGUGAAUCCAGUAUGUCUGAGCAUUAAAGCAAAUGAAAUAAAACUUUCAACAAUGGAUCUCUUGGUUCUGGCAUCGAUGAAGAACGCAGCGAAAUGCGAUAAGUAAUGUGAAUUGCAGAAUUCCGUGAAUCAUCGAAUCUUUGAACGCACAUUGCGCCCUCUGGUAUUCCGGGGGGCAUGCCUGUUCGAGCGUCAUUGCAACCCCUCAAGCUCGGCUUGUGUGUUGGGCCAUCGUCCCACCCAGUGGACGGGCCUGCAAUGCAGUGGCAGCACCGCACCGGUGUCUGAGUGUAUGGGCAUCCGUCACCGCUCAAUAGACCCGAUCGGCGCUUGCCGUGAUCAAUCACAAUCAUCCAUUUUUGACCUCGGAUCAGGUAGGAAUACCCGCUGAACUUAAGCAUAUCAAUAA
rnacentral:misc_RNA from 1 species